rnacentral:rRNA from 1 species
UAUCAAUAAGCGGAGGAAAAGAAACCAACAGGGAUUGCCCUAGUAACGGCGAGUGAAGCGGCAACAGCUCAAAUUUGAAAUCUGGCUCUUUUAGAGUCCGAGUUGUAAUUUGCAGAGGGCGCUUUGGCUUUGGCAGCGGUCCAAGUUCCUUGGAACAGGACGUCACAGAGGGUGAGAAUCCCGUACGUGGUCGCUAGCUAUUGCCGUGUAAAGCCCCUUCGACGAGUCGAGUUGUUUGGGAAUGCAGCUCUAAAUGGGAGGUAAAUUUCUUCUAAAGCUAAAUAUUGGCCAGAGACCGAUAGCGCACAAGUAGAGUGAUCGAAAGAUGAAAAGCACUUUGGAAAGAGAGUCAAACAGCACGUGAAAUUGUUGAAAGGGAAGCGCUUGCAGCCAGACUUGCUUGCAGUUGCUCAUCCGGGCUUUUGCCCGGUGCACUCUUCUGCAGGCAGGCCAGCAUCAGUUUGGGCGGUGGGAUAAAGGUCUCUGACACGUUCCUUCCUUCGGGUUGGCCAUAUAGGGGAGACGUCAUACCACCAGCCUGGACUGAGGUCCGCGCAUCUGCUAGGAUGCUGGCGUAAUGGCUGUAAGCGGCCCGUCUUGAAACACGGACCAAGGAGUCUAACAUCUAUGCGAGUGUUUGGGUGUCAAGCCCGAGCGCGUAAUGAAAGUGAACGGAGGUGGGAACCCGCAAGGGUGCACCAUCGACCGAUCCUGAAGUUUACGGAAGGAUUUGAGUAAGAGCAUGGCUGUUGGGACCCGAAAGAUGGUGAACUAUGCUUGAAUAGGGUGAAGCCAGAGGAAACUCUGGUGGAGGCUCGCAGCGGUUCUGACGUGCAAAUCGAUCGUCAAAUUUGGGCAUAGGGGCGAAAGACUAAUCGAACUAUCUAGUAGCUGGU